AUAUAUAUAUACUAAAAUAGAAUUCUUAAUAAAAUAUUAAAAUAAAAAUCUUAAUUAAAUUCUAGUUAAAAUCUAGACAAAUCUUAAUCAAAUCUUAGUCAAAUUUUAAUCAAAUCCUUAUUAAAUCCUAUUCAAUUCCUAAAUAAGCUCUAAUCAAAUCUUAAACAAAACCUAGUCAAAUCCUAAUCAAAUUCUAGUCAAAUCCUAAUCAAAUCUUAAUUAAAUCCUAAUCAAAUCCUAAUCAAAUCUUAGUCAAAUCCUAAAAAAAUCCUAAAUAAGCCUUAAUCAAAUCCUAGAUAAAUUCUAGUCAAAUUCUAGUCAAAUUGUAAUCAAAUCGAAAUCAAAUCCUAAACAAAUCCUAAUCAAAUCCUAGUCAAAUCUUAAAAAAAUCCUAAAUAAGUCUUAAUCAAAUCUUAGUCAAAUCCUAAUCAAAUCCUAGUCAAAUCUUAAAUAAAUCCUAAAUAAACUCUAACCAAAUUCUAGACAAAUCUUAGUUAAAUUCUAAUCAAAUCUUAAUCAAAUCCUAAUAAAAUCCUAGACAAAUCUUAGACAAAUCCUAAAUAAGCCCUAACCAAAUUCUAGACAAAUCGUAAUCAAAUCUUAGAUAAAUCCUAAUCAAAUCCUAACCUAAAUUAAAUCCUAAUUCUAACCAAAUAUUAAAUCAAAUCCAAAAUCUUAAUCCUAAUCUUAACCAAAUCCUAACCAAAUCCUAACCCUAAUCCCAAAUCAAAUCCUA
rnacentral:lncRNA from 1 species